rnacentral:lncRNA from 1 species
UAGACAGUUCAGGCUGUGGGCAGGUAUGGGUUCAAUGAAAGAUGGGUGAUCCCAGAGAUCCUGGAAGAUGCCAGGGAUUUGUUGGUAGUGUAAAAUGAAAGAGAUGGGUGUCCAAGAUGUGGGAGUCCUGGAGAGACAAGAAUCAGCUGGGAAUUGUGAGACACUGGGUGGUAAGGUAAACUGGGUGCCACUAGCACAUGAGGAAACAGGAAGGAGGAGCACUGUCAGAAAUUACAUAUUCAUAGAUACGUGAAGAUGAAGAAACAAGUAGACAACAGUGCAAAGCAGACAACUUAGGAAACACUGGAAAAGGGGAGUGAAGGGAUGGGGAGAACUGAGAUGAAAGGGAAACACUGAGAACAGUUGUCACACAGUAGUGUGGGAACAGUAGUGUGGGAGGUUCUAAAGUGGAUUGCAAGACUGGGGAACAUUGGGUUGCCAUGGAACAUGAAGGAGGGAGAUAUGGGUUUGUAGGUAUCAGAACUUUGGUGCAGCCUCUUCUGCAUCCUCACCAGAAUGGUGUCAUCUCCUUGUCCUUGGAGCCCACACCAGUUCUGUGCUCUUUCCCUCCUCAGUACAAACAAGAAAGGAAAACUCCCUCCCCUGACCCCAUUAGCCUGCUCUUGCUAAUGCAUCCCACAGAAUGCAGUGGAUAGCUGAUGAAUGACCAGCAGAUAUUUCAGGGCAGGUGUUGUGUAUUGUCUGGAAAGGGCCAUGUCCAUCAGGGCUUGGGAAUGCCUAGUCACUUACUCUGGGGCCUGCACUUCCAGGGGUUCCACCCCCAGCCACUCCUGCACCUCUUGGAGCACUUAGAACUCACCACUGUCUCUCUCUCUCUCUCUCCCCAACUUUCCACAGAAUGGCUUCUAGCUCCCGGUCGUCUACAACCCUGUCAGCUUUGAGGAUCAGUGACCACAGCUUCAAUGACAAUGGGAACUGCCGAAUAAUUUCCCUCUGAAUUCAAUCUACGGUCCCAAUUUUGCCCUGUUCCUGAAGAGUUUUGCUUAAGAAUGAAGAGAUCCCAUGUUCCUGGUGCAAAGCAAAUAAACCUGGAUCUUACACCACUGUGUUCUGGACUUUUAUGUGUAUAUGUGUGGCUUUUUCAGACACCAGUCCUCCUCCAGAAUCCCCAGUCUCUUCUCUUGCAACCAAGCUGGUCCCAAACUGCUGCAGAUUACUCAGUAACCUGGGUCAGAGCAGUUAAUUAUAAUAACAGGUGGAGACCAUGAUGUCACCCAAGGCAUCUCAGGGUUUCCCUGCUGCCGUUUGGAAUAUCUUUUCUUUCUGCCUCAACUGGAUUUCACCUGUCCCAGUCUAUGCCUGUCAUCUAUGCCAGAGGGGUGGAUUGAUACCAAUGGCAGUGUAACAGUAUGUUGAGUUGGGUCCCAAGGGCCAUUGUGCCACAUCAAGUUGAGUCAAGUUGUGAGGAUAGUUGGGCAAGUCGAGUCAAGUCACAAGGGCUGUCGAGUGGAGUCAAGUCAAAUCAAGUCAAGUUGCAAGGGCCUUCUGACCAAGUCGAGCCAAGUGGCAAGGGCUGUCAGGCUGAGUAGAGUCAAGUUGCUAGGGCCGUUGGGCUGAGUCAAGUCAGCUGCAAGGGCUAUCAGGCUGUGCUGAGUCGAGUUGUGAGUGCUGUUGGGCUGAGUCCAGUCACAUUAGGAGAGCCAUUGGGCCGAGUUGAGUUGAGAUGGCCGUCAAGCCAAGAGGAUUCGAGUCAUGAGGGCCAUCUUACCAAGUCAAACCAAGUCAUGAGGACUGUUGGGAUGAUUCCUGUCAAGUUGUCAGGGCUGUUGGGCCAAGGCAAGUUGAGUUGAGUUGCUAUGGCCAUCAGGCAGAGUUGAGUCAAGUUGAAAGGGACAUCAGGUCAAGUUGAGGUGAGUCGUGAGGGCCAGCGGGCCAAGCCAAGGUGACUUGUAAGAGCUGUCAGGCCAAGCUGAGUUGAGUUGAAUCACAAGAACCUUAGGGCUGAGUCAAAUCACAAGAGUUUUAGGGCUGAGUCAAAUCAGGUUGCGAGGGAUGUUGGUUCAAGGUGAGCCAAGUUGCAAUGGCAUUCAAGAUGAGUUGAUUUGAGUCAAAUCACAAGAGUUGUUUUGCUGAGUCCAGCUGAAUCAUGAGAGCCAUUGGGCUAAGUCAAAUUAAGUCAAGACGGCUGUCAAGACAAGUCAAGUUGAGUCACAAGGGCUGCUGGGCCGAGUCAAGUCAAGUCGCAAGGGCCAUUGUGCCAAGCCAAGUUGAGUUGAGUCAUGAGGGUUGUUGGGUUGAGUCUUGUUGAUUUGCUAGGGCUGUAGGGCCAGGUCACAUCUAUUUGUGAGGGCUGUCAGGCUGAGUCGAGUUGCAAGGGCCAUUGGGCUGAGUCAAGUUGAGUUGAGUCAAGACGGCUGUCAGGCCGAGUUGAAUAGAGUCAUGAGGGCCAUCGGGCUGAGUCUUAUUGAGACAAGUUGCAAGGGCCUUCAGGCUGAGUUGAGUCGAUUCAUCAGAGCCAUCAUGCUGAGCUGAGUUGUGUCGCAAGGGCCAUUGUACCAAGUUGAGACAAGUUUAGUCAAGUCACAAGGAUAGCUGAGCUGAAUUGAGUCUAGCCAUGGGGGCUAUAUGGCUGAGUCGAGUUGAACUGAUUUGUGAUGGCUGUCAGGCUGAGCCAAGUCGAGCUGCGUGGGCCAUCAGGCUGAGCUGAGUUGAACUGCGGGGGGCUGUUGGGCCAAAUCGAGUGGAGCCGCAAGGGCCAUUGAGCUGAGUCAAGUCAAGUCUCAAAGGCCUUCUGGCUGAGUUGAGCCAAGUUGUGAGUGCCGUUGGGCUGAGUCGAGUCAAGUUGCAAGGGCUUUCUGGCCAAGUCAAUCCAAGUUGAGAGGGC